rnacentral:rRNA from 1 species
AUUGAACGCUGGCGGCAGGCCUAACACAUGCAAGUCGAGCGGAUGAAGGGAGCUUGCUCCUGGAUUCAGCGGCGGACGGGUGAGUAAUGCCUAGGAAUCUGCCUGGUAGUGGGGGAUAACGUCCGGAAACGGGCGCUAAUACCGCAUACGUCCUGAGGGAGAAAGUGGGGGAUCUUCGGACCUCACGCUAUCAAAUGAGCCUAGGUCGGAUUAGCUAGUUGGUGGGGUAAAGGCCUACCAAGGCGACGAUCCGUAACUGGUCUGAGAGGAUGAUCAGUCACACUGGAACUGAGACACGGUCCAGACUCCUACGGGAGGCAGCAGUGGGGAAUAUUGGACAAUGGGCGAAAGCCUGAUCCAGCCAUGCCGCGUGUGUGAAGAAGGUCUUCUGAUUGUAAAGCACUUUAAGUUGGGAGGAAGGGCAGUAAGUUAAUACCUUGCUGUUUUGACGUUACCAACAGAAUAAGCACCGGCUAACUUCGUG